rnacentral:rRNA from 1 species
GACGAACGCUGGCGGCGUGCUUAACGCAUGCAAGUCGAACGGAAAGGCCCAGCUUGCUGGGUGCUCGAGUGGCGAACGGGUGAGUAACACGUGGGUGAUCUGCCUCUAACUUCGGGAUAAGCUUGGGAAACUGGGUCUAAUACCGGAUAGGACAAUCGUUUAGUGUCGGUUGUGGAAAGUUUUUUCGGUUAGGGAUGAGCCCGCGGCCUAUCAGCUUGUUGGUGGGGUAAUGGCCUACCAAGGCGUCGACGGGUAGCCGGCCUGAGAGGGUGGACGGCCACAUUGGGACUGAGAUACGGCCCAGACUCCUACGGGAGGCAGCAGUGGGGAAUAUUGCACAAUGGGAGCAAGCCUGAUGCAGCGACGCCGCGUGGGGGAUGACGGCCUUCGGGUUGUAAACCUCUUUCGACAGGGACGAAGCUUUGGUGACGGUACCUGUAUAAGAAGCACCGGCUAACUACGUG